UACGAAGGGGGCUAGCGUUGUUCGGAAUUACUGGGCGUAAAGCGCGCGUAGGCGGUGAUCUUUGUCAGAGGUGAAAUCCCGAGGCUCAACUUCGGAAUUGCCUUUGAAACGGGAUCGCUUGAGUCCGAGAGAGGAUGGCGGAAUUCCUAGUGUAGAGGUGAAAUUCGUAGAUAUUCGCAAGAACACCAGUGGCGAAGGCGGCUCACUGGUCCAUUACUGACGCUGAGGUGCGAAAGCGUGGGGAGCAAACAGG
rnacentral:rRNA from 1 species